GGGUUGUGAGGUUAAGCGACUAAGCGUACACGGUGGAUGCCCUGGCAGUCAGAGGCGAUGAAGGGCGUGCUAAUCUGCGAUAAGCGCCGGUAAGGUGAUAUGAACCGUUAUAACCGGCGAUACCCGAAUGGGGAAACCCAGUGUGAUUCGUCACACUAUCAUUAACUGAAUCCAUAGGUUAAUGAGGCGAACCGGGGGAACUGAAACAUCUAAGUACCCCGAGGAAAAGAAAUCAACCGAGAUUCCCCCAGUAGCGGCGAGCGAACGGGGAGGAGCCCAGAGCCUGAAUCAGCAUGUGUGUUAGUGGAAGCGUCUGGAAAGGCGCGCGAUACAGGGUGACAGCCCCGUACACAAAAGCGCAUAUGCUGUGAGCUCGAUGAGUAGGGCGGGACACGUGGUAUCCUGUCUGAAUAUGGGGGGACCAUCCUCCAAGGCUAAAUACUCCUGACUGACCGAUAGUGAACCAGUACCGUGAGGGAAAGGCGAAAAGAACCCCGGCGAGGGGAGUGAAAAAGAACCUGAAACCGUGUACGUACAAGCAGUGGGAGCCCCACCA
rnacentral:rRNA from 1 species